rnacentral:rRNA from 1 species
UACGGGGGGGGCAAGCGUUGUUCGGAAUUACUGGGCGUAAAGGGCGCGUAGGCGGCACUGUUAGUCAGGCGUGAAAUUCCUGGGCUCAACCUGGGGACUGCGCUUGAUACGGCAGAGCUAGAGGAUGGAAGAGGCUCGCGGAAUUCCCAGUGUAGAGGUGAAAUUCGUAGAUAUUGGGAAGAACACCGGUGGCGAAGGCGGCGAGCUGGUCCAUUACUGACGCUGAGGCGCGACAGCGUGGGGGAGCAAACAGG